AAAGACCAACAAAACAUAAUUGAGGAUGUAAUUGGUGAAGCGGAGUAGGCACUAUAACAAAAGAGUUGAAUUCGAGUUUUUUAUAAGUAUGAUUUAAUAUCAUAACACCAAUCAUGUAUACAUAUCAAAAUUUAUUAAAAUAUAUGAUAAAAUAAAAACCAAUACAUUUAUUCUUUUACAAACAUUUUAGAAAGAUAUAAUUAAU
rnacentral:lncRNA from 1 species